GAGUGGGAGCUCUUGGAGUUCCUUUGCCCAUCACAUUGGGACUGAGCAGAAGGGGCCAGGGUGGGGAAAUGUUCCCAAACCCAACUGACAUUCCAUUGCCGAUAGCGCCGGAGGCUCCGCCUGUGUGGGAGCCUCCAUCAAGAGACAAAAUUAACCACUGCUGGACACUUGUGAAGACGAAUCAUUCUGAGUCUGUCAAAAAUUGUGUGUGUAAAUAUAUAUAUCUAAAUACUCGGCUAGGAUUUGAAGAAUUACAGGAUAUCCCACGUUUAGGAAGGUGCUCCCCUGAGUCACCUUCGUGCCCCUGAGUUGAGAUUAACAAGACCAAUGUAGCUCUGCCAUCAUUCUUAUAGCAUGUCUUCAGCAUUUGAGCUUUUUUUUUUGGGGGGGGGGAUGGGGGUUUAAUUCUUGUAUUAUACUUUUGGAUGCUGUUGCUGUCAUCUGUGCCUAUAGCAAUAUUUCCAGUUGACCAAAUAUUCUAAUCUCUUUAUAUGCAAAAGAAAUAGUUUUAAGUACCUUUUUAUAGAAUGGUAAGAUGGUAUAAACGUACUCUAAAUUUACUCCUUUGUGCUAUUACCCUGUAUUACUGUACUUUUUUCUUUCUCUCUUUGGUUUUUUGGUUUUUUUUUUUUGUUGGUAAGUGAAUCCGUAGGGCAGGAAUUUUUAGUUUCAGGCUGAGGUCAUGACUGAGGAUGAGGAAUGUUACCGAGAUCAGUGAAACACCUGAAGCAAAAAGCAGACUUCUAAAGCAAAGCGGUGGAGGUGAGAGGCACAAAGAGCUUGUGCAUGAAAGGAAAAGGACCCAGGUGAAAGUUUUACCUUUUUAACCUCUAAGCCCAGAUCUAAGUUAUAGGAAGGGAAUUUAUUAAAAGUAGAUUGCAGCAGAUUGGUUUCUUUAUUUUUUUUUUUCCCCAAUAAAAACCAUGUAUUGUUUGGUUUUCCUGGCUUAUGACUCUUUCCCGGGCCAUUCUGCCUUCUCUUUCGUGUGAUCCGAUGUUGCCUUACAUUUCCCUCUAACCUGCAACCUGUUCGGAUGCAAAAUAACCAGAAUCUUGUACUUUUUUUCAGGGUUUUUUCUGCAAAUUGUGGACCAAAGUUUGUUUUUUAAUUGUCUUAGUGUGUUGCAAGUUAGGAUUUCCUGGCUUAGUGUGGGAGCUCUUGACUUGCCUGGCACUGAGUGUUUGGAAAAGUCUUAACUUUCCGUAGUUCCUCCCUGAGCUCUUGAGGAUGUGAAUUGUACUGGAGAAGCGCGUGAGGUCUGAGUGAGGGUUCAGCUUGAGCUGCUGGCAUGGGGGUCCUGAUCCUCCUCUGGCUGCGGCGUGGAAAACCAGCUUUCCUGGAAGCAUUGCCCCAAUUGAGCCGGUGCCACUGGGUUUGGUAACCCCUAAACCUGGGCAAAGCCUCUUGCCGAAGCUCCGCACCUCCUUGCCAGCACCUCAACGUUCAGGAGGGCAAACCCAGGCGUCUGGUGGUGGUUGUCACUCCUCUCCCUCCCCAGGUGACAAACCCAUUCCCCUGCAGCCGUGGGGCUGUGGUUGGAUUCGAAAUGUGUUUGAGAAGCCUCCCCCAGGACACUGGGAAGAGGCUGCUUGGAACGAGACCUGCUCCGGGGGGGCCUUGACCGCUGCUUCGGUCACCCCACGGGCUGGAACCAAGCGCAGACAAAUGGAGGUGACCCGCGACCAGGCGCCGGUGGGUCUUUCCUUUGGAUCCCUGUGUUUGCAUGUAAAGAAUGUGAGUAACAAAAGGGUGUACAUAUUUAUAAUUUUUUUAUACCUGUUGUAAGACAUGAGGGGGCAGCAAAACCCGGUUUUUUUAUGGUGAAACAGAUGUAUUGUAUAUUUUGAUAACAGCGAUUCCAGGUUCAGUAUUGUGGAAGGUGGGGUGGGGAGGGGAAGCGUACACACCAUCAGAAUUCCAUUGCCUCUUUCAAAGAAUGUUUGUAAUGCAAAAAGAAAUGAAAUUAAAACUAUUUUAUAAC
rnacentral:lncRNA from 1 species